CAGACAUCUGACUGGUAUGGGGUGGAGGGAGGGUCCCUGGGUGCGCUGGGAAGAGGGCAGAAGAGAGGCCGUGGGACCUGCUUUGGUCCCGGGAACGGUGAGUUCAUUUCUUUUUGUCUUCCCUCUCUCUCAGAAACAUUGGAAAAUCAUGGAAAUAAGUGGCCUUUUGGGAGCAGCCUUGGUCAGCUGGACUACAAAGACCCAGCAGGGCCUUUAUCAGGAAUGGACAGACAAAGGGGGAGUUAUUGGGAAGUGAUCACAAUGGCAAUAAAAGCAACCUCAGUAAGCCUUUAAAAAAAAAAAGAAAGAAAAACAAAGCAGAUGAACAAAGCAUGGUGCCCAAACUUAAAUACAGAAGGACAAGAAACCCAUUAAAAUACGGUCUUGGAAAAGUGCUCCAAGUGGAUAAUAAUAA